CAUGAUUGCUGUUUACCCGCCUGCCCGCCUGAGGGCGGGGCUGCACAUUUUGCCUGUGUUUUGCUUGUCUGCUGCGUUGCAGGUGAGUGGAUGGAGGACUGAUUGGGCCGGAGUCAAGAGGGAGCCUGAGCGAGCUCACGGCCAGGCCCAGCAGCACGGCCGGGAUCGGUAAAAGGAGCGGCGGGGGGUCCGGGGCUCUCUGGGUGAGCCGAGCAUGACGUCCACAGCGGGCCUUCACAGGACGAGGCUCCUUCACUGAGGCUGGAUGCCGGAUAGGCUCACGACCUCGUUGCUUCCUGCCUGAUCCUUGUCGGGACCUUUUCCAAUCUACCUGCUCCAGGAUGUUGACCUCUUGCCUGUUUACUGGAUACGACUACCCUGCUCCCUUUGUUGAUUAAAUCUGUGCUUGAGUCUCCUCCUGCCGCCCGAGAUCCUUUACACAUGGGUUAUUCAAAUAUUUCCAUCAAAGGGAACAAUGUUACUUUCUAAUUAAAACAAUACGAUGGACAAAUUUAAAUCCUAGUGUAGAUGUAAAAACACGAAAGCCGUUCACUUAUCAAAUGCUGUUCACUAUUUACAGACAAAGCUCAUCCUGAACUCUUACUAAAUACAAAGACCUGCCAGCUAGCUUUCUGUUCACUCACUGACCAAUCACAGCGCACGUCAACGCUGCGCUGUACGUUGAUCCAGGCGUACUUAGGAG
ensembl:lncRNA